GACGAACGCUGGCGGCGUGCCUAAUACAUGCAAGUAGAACGCUGAAGGAGGAGCUUGCUUCUCUGGAUGAGUUGCGAACGGGUGAGUAACGCGUAGGUAACCUGCCUGGUAGCGGGGGAUAACUAUUGGAAACGAUAGCUAAUACCGCAUAAGAGUAGAUGUUGCAUGACAUUUGCUUAAAAGGUGCAAUUGCAUCACUACCAGAUGGACCUGCGUUGUAUUAGCUAGUUGGUGGGGUAACGGCUCACCAAGGCGACGAUACAUAGCCGACCUGAGAGGGUGAUCGGCCACACUGGGACUGAGACACGGCCCAGACUCCUACGGGAGGCAGCAGUAGGGAAUCUUCGGCAAUGGACGGAAGUCUGACCGAGCAACGCCGCGUGAGUGAAGAAGGUUUUCGGAUCGUAAAGCUCUGUUGUAAGAGAAGAACGAGUGUGAGAGUGGAAAGUUCACACUGUGACGGUAUCUUACCAGAAAGGGACGGUUAACUACGUG
rnacentral:rRNA from 1 species